rnacentral:rRNA from 1 species
UACGUAGGGGGGCAAGCGUUGUCCGGAUUUAUUGGGCGUAAAGAGCUCGUAGGCGGUUUGUCACGUCUGCUGUGAAAUCCCGAGGCUCAACCUCGGGUCUGCAGUGGGUACGGGCAGACUGGAGUGCGGUAGGGGGAGAAUGGAAUUCCUGGUGUAGCGGUGGAAUGCGCAGAUAUCGGGAGGAACAUCAGUGGCGAAGGCGGCUGCCUGGCCCAAUACUGACACUCAGGUGCGACAGCGUGGGGGAGCAAACAGGG